AGACAGAGUCUCACUCUAUCGCCCAGGCUGGAGUGCAGUGGAGCAAUCUCAGCUCACUGCAACCUCCGCCUCCUGGAUUCAAGAAAUUCUCCUGCCUCAGCCUCCCAAGUAGCUGGGAUUACAGGUGCCUGUCACCACACCCGGCUAAUUUUUGUAUUUUUAGUAGAGACGGGGUUACACCAUGUUGGCCAGGCUGGUCUCAAACUCCUGAUCUCAGAUGAUCCACCCGCCUCAGCUUCCCCAAGUGCUGGGAUUACAGGCGUGAGCCACCGCGCCCGGCCUUUUACAUGCUUUUAACUCAAUUAAUCCUCACAACAAACCCUGUGAGGUGGGUUCUUAUUUUUCCUACUUUAUAAAUGUGAUAACUGAGGCAUACAGAAGUAAUUUGCCAAAUCCUAGAAGCUUCCAGAACUCUCUGUCUUAACCGCUAAGACUAUGCUGUAGGGUCUGGAGGGUGAAAGCAGUGCCCAGCUUCAGGACUCUGCAACAGUGUCGCAGAGGCUCCACUCC
rnacentral:antisense_RNA from 1 species